rnacentral:rRNA from 1 species
AUUGAACGCUGGCGGCAUGCCUUACACAUGCAAGUCGAACGGCAGCACGGAGCUUGCUCUGGUGGCGAGUGGCGAACGGGUGAGUAAUAUAUCGGAACGUACCCUAGAGUGGGGGAUAACGUAGCGAAAGUUACGCUAAUACCGCAUACGAUCUAAGGAUGAAAGUGGGGGAUCGCAAGACCUCAUGCUCGUGGAGCGGCCGAUAUCUGAUUAGCUAGUUGGUAGGGUAAAAGCCUACCAAGGCAUCGAUCAGUAGCUGGUCUGAGAGGACGACCAGCCACACUGGAACUGAGACACGGUCCAGACUCCUACGGGAGGCAGCAGUGGGGAAUUUUGGACAAUGGGCGAAAGCCUGAUCCAGCAAUGCCGCGUGAGUGAAGAAGGCCUUCGGGCUGUAAAGCUCUUUUGUCAGGGAAGAAACGGUGGGAGCUAAUAUCUCUUGCUAAUGACGGUACCUGAAGAAUAAGCACCGGCUAACUACGUGCCAGCAGCCGCGGUAAUACGUAGGGUGCAAGCGUUAAUCGGAAUUACUGGGCGUAAAGCGCGCGCAGGCGGUUUUGUAAGUCUGAUGUGAAAUCCCCGGGCUCAACCUGGGAAUUGCAUUGGAGACUGCAAGGCUAGAAUCUGGCAGAGGGGGGUAGAAUUCCACGUGUAGCAGUGAAAUGCGUAGAUAUGUGGAGGAACACCGAUGGCGAAGGCAGCCCCCUGGGUCAAGAUUGACGCUCAUGCACGAAAGCGUGGGGAGCAAACAGGAUUAGAUACCCUGGUAGUCCACGCCCUAAACGAUGUCUACUAGUUGUCGGGUCUUAAUUGACUUGGUAACGCAGCUAACGCGUGAAGUAGACCGCCUGGGGAGUACGGUCGCAAGAUUAAAACUCAAAGGAAUUGACGGGGACCCGCACAAGCGGUGGAUGAUGUGGAUUAAUUCGAUGCAACGCGAAAAACCUUACCUACCCUUGACAUGGCUGGAAUCCUUGAGAGAUCAGGGAGUGCUCGAAAGAGAACCAGUACACAGGUGCUGCAUGGCUGUCGUCAGCUCGUGUCGUGAGAUGUUGGGUUAAGUCCCGCAACGAGCGCAACCCUUGUCAUUAGUUGCUACGAAAGGGCACUCUAAUGAGACUGCCGGUGACAAACCGGAGGAAGGUGGGGAUGACGUCAAGUCCUCAUGGCCCUUAUGGGUAGGGCUUCACACGUCAUACAAUGGUACAUACAGAGCGCCGCCAACCCGCGAGGGGGAGCUAAUCGCAGAAAGUGUAUCGUAGUCCGGAUUGUAGUCUGCAACUCGACUGCAUGAAGUUGGAAUCGCUAGUAAUCGCGGAUCAGCAUGUCGCGGUGAAUACGUUCCCGGGUCU